GAAGGAAGACAAAUGAAAGGGAAUGCAUCAAACAAACAAAAAAAUUUAAGGUCCUUUGAAUUCAACAGGAAGAGGAAGAAUUUGCAGCAGGGGAGGUUGGGGUAGGAGAGAGCCGGAAAGGGUUGCUGGGUUGUGAGACCACUAAGUUCAAUGAUUCAAGAGCUGUCAAGUUCCCAAGAGAUAAGGUUAUGAGACCACUAAGAGUGUUGUUGGAGAGCUUCAGCAAAUGAAGGCCUCUUAAUUUCCCAAUGAUACCCGCUGGAAUCUCUCCUUCAAGUCUAUUGCUUGAUAGAUAGAUGUUACAAUCCGUCUAUAAUUUUACUGUAUUUUAUUUUUUUGAAAAAUGUUAAAUGAUCAAAAUGCUCUUAGAUGGUAUGUGUCAAUUUUCAUUUAUUUAGUAUUCAGGACACGUAUGAGAUAUUAAUUAGUA